AUGAUGUAUUUGACCAUUUACUAACAUAUAUGGGUAUCAAUAAGUUAUGUGCUUUAAGUGAUUUAAAAUAUAAUUUGCUUUCUAACUGUAAGACCACAGAAUCAGCUUUGGUUAGCAAGACAGGAUGGACCGGUUGGCACCAAUUGCUAUCAGUGUGUGAAACAAUGAACAGAGCUAAAUAAUCAGUCAAAGUAACGGUUGAGGCAUUUCCAAGGUCCAACAUGUCGCAGAGAACGAAGAGGCUAGAAUGAGGAGAUUAGGUUAGAGUGGGAGGAUUACUGCAAGGCACAGAGUGGAGGAUGGAAUGUCUGAGAACCAUUCUCCGAUGUGCGCAACAUAAACAAGACACAACAGUCAAGAGAAGACCUGGGAGCUAUUUCACUGUUGCUGCUAUUGAACUCCUAGAACAGAUGCUAAUAUUAGUUGAAAGGAUUGAUGUGGUGGCUGAGGUAAAAGGGAAUCGUGAAGAUUCUGAUGGUGAUAGUGGGCUGUGUUGUCAGCUUGACCCACUCGAGGUGGGGACUGGACAUUUCGCAAUCCCAGAAUUCUAGUUUGUCUUAAGUUGACCAAAAAGAAUAUCGCAAAGACUCCUGGACUUGUUUUGCUGAAAUAGAACUGAUUCUAUUGACUCUCAAGGACAUUGGUAACAUCAGUACAUUAAACUGCAAAGAACAAAAGGAGUGUAUCGACCUGACCUACGUGACUAAAAAGGUCUAACUUUGGAAACAAAGACAAGUCUAACCGAUCUUAAGAAGAGAUAUUCUACAAUCAACAUUGAUCGAACCACGUUAACAAGUCGAUUCCUAAUCACAGCCACUGUAUUAAUCUGAUUCAUUAAUUGCACUGAACUUUAUUACUCAUUCUUAAGCAUUUGUGAUUGCCCAAGCCAUAAUUACAAUGAUUGUCUCUUUGUGUUAUUUGCGCUCCUACUUGGGCUACCCAAGUGCAAUCUAACCAUUUACAGUUAGCUUGCUUAAUAAAUCAUAGAUAAAUGAGAGAUCGGGGGACUGUUGAAAUAUACUGACUAUCACCUCGGGAUACAUUGGCAUAUUUCAAACGCAACCGAAUGUUCCGGGAGGUUUGAUAGUUAAAUGAUUAAAAGUAGCUUUUCUGGACUUGAGGUUAGCUUCCGAUUACAUUUCAGAUUUUCCUGUAAAAAUGUUCACUCCUCUGAGAUAAUGGGCAAUCGAGUCCUUGAACAUAGAUGUAAGAACAAUGGACCACAGAAAGAAAAGGCUACAGACACCUGCCUUUCUCAAGGUUGAGAAACAAGCAAGCUGUGGAAGGCUGCCUAGAAGUUGUCCAUAUCUUUCUCCUUAUCAGAUAUUUUCUGAUGCGAAAAGGGCCUGCUGAAAGAUCGCUAGCAGCCUGCGAAGGGUGGGGGCUAUCUCUGUGACAAGGGGAGGUGGAGUUAGAAACACAUAAAAGAAAGAUGUAACUUUCGAAUAGUUGUAGAGUUGUGCAGAGGGUCAGUGCACUUCCCAGUGGAAUCUAUAUUGAUUCUACUGUAUCUUUGUAUAUGUACAGGGAUGAGGGAAUUUACCUCCAGUAAGAAAGUGACCAUUAAAAGUGAAAGAGGAGAAGUGGUGGGUAAUAUGUUUUUGGUUCUGUUUGCUAGCCAUAGAAGUAGUAACAGUAGUAGUGGUUGGUCCGUUUGUAACACAGAAGUCAGAUUAGACAGUACGAGUGAUGUGCUGGGCUAAGAGCUGAUUGUUGCUGUUGGGUUUCAGGACCCACUCUCUGUGAUUUUGUGUGAUAGUUCUGUGAUGCCUCCAAUGUAUGUCAAGGUGUGCUCCCAGGUCUACUGUUUAGUCUGGAGAACGAAACAGGGCCUGGAUACAUGUUGUCGUCCCUAUAUCGUCAGUACUAAGGGCUGCAAGAUACUGUGAGGAUCAGCUAUAUCUGAGGGGCAAUUCCAGAAGCUGAACUCUGUACCGGUGCCGGUUAAAAGACACUAUUGGGGAUUGUCUGUCUUCCGAAGUUUUGUGUUACUGAAUCAGUUGUCCCUGAGGGUUUUCCAGGGGCUGAUCUCUGCUGUGUCUUUUGAAGGGUGUUGUUUGUCUGGAGUCCUGAGCAACCUCAAGUACAUGCUGUGUGGUAAAUGUUUUGCUCACAUAGAUGUGUUGUACUGUUAUUGUGUCGUUAUAUGUAGUAUAAUUUGAUUACAGAUUGUUACGAAUUGUUAAACCUUAUGUUUCAUCUUAUGCAAUAAACUCUAUACUCUUA